ensembl:snRNA U6 U6 spliceosomal RNA
GUAUUCACUUUGGCAGCACAUAUACUGAAAUUGGAACCACACAAAGCACUUUAGCGUGGCUCUUGCGCAAGAAUGACAAGCACAUUUGUGAGGCUGAGGCAUUCCAU